UGGUAAUAGCAUCUCUUCUUCUUUGUGCCGGGUGUCCGAAUAUUGGGUUAAUUUUUAAGCACAAGUGUACAAAAAAUGUCCAUCUCUGUUACAUAGCAAACAACACGAAGCAGCAGCGUCGCAGUCGUUAUGCACAUUAAGAAUACCAACAUCAAGAGAAAAUACAUCGACAACAAGAACAACAACACAAAAGAAAAUCAUAUCCACCAGCCUUAAAUGUUCGUUAUGGAAUCUGGCUGAGUUUAAAAUACGUUUUUGUUGUCAUUGGAUGGAUAAUUUAAAGAGUGUUACUGGUUUCGGCCUCCCUUACAAAUCCAUCUGUGCCUUCCUUGUCUGUCCUGUUCCGUAUGACAGCGAGCAAGCAACAACAACAAUACAAGAUUUGCCUUCGCUACCUGCAAACAAGUCUUAUUUUUUUGCUUGGUUAUGUUUAUGUUGUCUUUUUUUAGUUGUUUGGUCUUCGUGCUGACGCUGAUGAUGAUGAUGCUGCUUCUGACGUGGUUGUUGUUGGUGGUGCUUGUGGACCUAGACAGACAUUAAACGGAAGUGAGCGCAUUCCUUAGUAAAACAUCAUCAAGAGUUUUUUUCAACAUUGUGCAGCAGAGCAGAGAGAGGGAGCGAAGAUGCUUGUGAUCAAUACAGACAUGCCACCACACAUCUCAACCCGGACCAUCAUCGAUUCAUCCACACCCAUAUUGAAAGCAACUUUCUGUUGGAUUCAACCGAUCUUCAUUUGAGGAACAUUAACAACUAUGUCCCAGGGAUGGGAAAUUGAAGCGUUUGCAAAAUUUCGGAGCAUCUGUUUUGAGGACAGAUCGGAUCGAAAAAAGAUGUUUCAGCAGAAGAAGAAGAAACUGCUCAAGACGUUGGUGACCGAGUAAAAUGAAAUUAAAUCCCAGUCAUCCGCCAUACACACAUCCAUCCACUUACAAAUGCGCCAUACCAAGAAGCAACAAAAACACAAUAUGAAAAACGCCACACAAAUAAAGACGGAACGAACGGUUACAACAGCAACAACAACAACCAAAGCAAAACAAAAGAUCCGUAUUGAUGACGAUCAUGAUAAUUGUAAUAGUUGUUGGUGGUGUUGCUGUUGUUGUUGUUGUUCUUAUUUGUUGUAAGAAGUAGAAAUUGGAGAUGUUGAUGGGGCUUAUAUUUCAAACACGACUCAAUACAACGCAUGGAGAGUAAAAGAGAGAGAGCAGUGCUCAACAAAUACACCUUGUCGCAUUGCAAAGAGCUGCAGAGAGAGCGAGAGUUGUUCAAAGGAAACAAGUGAGAAUAAACGAAAAGAAAACAAAACAAACCAUCAUUAAAACUGCUCUUCAAGCCGUGGUUGUGGCUGUUGCCGCCGCCGCUGCUGCUGAUGAUUGUGAUGAUGACGACGAUGACGUCGACGACAACGAAGCAGGUAAAAAUAUUUCAUUUAGAAGAGGGGCGAACAGAAGA